rnacentral:rRNA from 1 species
UGAGGAAUAUUGGUCAAUGGGCGAGAGCCUGAACCAGCCAAGUCGCGUGAGGGAAGACGGUCCUACGGAUUGUAAACCUCUUUUGUCGGGGAGCAAUAAAGCGUACGCGUACGCAGAUGCGAGUACCCGAAGAAAAAGCAUCGGCUAACUCCGUGCCAGCAGCCGCGGUAAUACGGAGGAUGCGAGCGUUAUCCGGAUUUAUUGGGUUUAAAGGGUGCGCAGGCGGAAAGUGCAAGUCAGCGGUCAAACGACGGGGCUCAACCCCGUCUCGCCGUUGAAACUGUCUUUCUAGAGUGAGCGAGAAGCAGGCGGAAUGCGUGGUGUAGCGGUGAAAUGCAUAGAUAUCACGCAGAACCCCGAUUGCGAAGGCAGCCUGCCGGCGCUCAACUGACGCUGAGGCACGAAAGAUGCGGGGAUCGAACAGGGUUAGAUACC